rnacentral:hammerhead_ribozyme from 1 species
AUCCGGAUGACGAGUUCCAAAUAGGAUGAAAUACGCGUCCUGAAU